rnacentral:lncRNA from 1 species
CUUUGAAGCAGGAAGAUCUCAGAGACGCGUAUUCAGGGCCAAUCCUCCAGCUAUGCAUACAUGCAGGGCAUGGUGGGUGGGGAUUGCAAAUGAGUGGACAGAGGAUGGACAUGAGGGCCGUCACCGGGAAAGUACAACUAGAGCAGCCAGCAAGAAGACCAAAGACAAACCCAGCGCUACAGCCCAGGAUGCUUGCUCUUGGAACACAGCCACCACGUUGGGAGGAAGCCCAGGCCACGUGGAGAGGUCCCAAUGCAUCAUCUGCAGAUAAAGUGUGACCUGUCCUGAGUAACUACAAAGGACCCUGGGAGGUUAUGCCUAGAAGUCUUGGACCCAAAUAUGAUUGCC